rnacentral:rRNA from 1 species
AUUGAACGCUGGCGGCAUGCCUAACACAUGCAAGUCGAGCGGCAGCAGGGUCUUGCCUCCUGGAUACAGCGGCGGUCGGGUGAGUGAUGCCUACGAGUCGGCCUAUUCCUGGGGGAUGACGUCCAGAAGCGGGCACUCAUACCGCAUACGUCCAGUGGCAGAAGGUGAGGGAUCGUGAGAUCUCGCGCUGUCGCAUGAGCCUAGGCCGGAUUAGCUAGUUGGUGGGGUAAAGGCCUACCAAGGCGACGAUCCGUAACUGGUCUGAGAGGAUGAUCAGUCACACUGGAACUGAGACACGGUCCAGACUCCUACGGGAGGCAGCAGUGGGGAAUAUUGGACAAUGGGCGAAAGCCUGAUCCAGCAAUGCCGCGUGUGUGAAGAAGGUCUUCGGAUUGUAAAGCACUUUAAGUGGGGAGGAAGGGUAGUAAGUUAAGAGCUGGCUGUCUUGACGUUACCCACAGAAGAAGCACCGGCUAACUCCGUG